rnacentral:rRNA from 1 species
CCUACGGGUGGCAGCAGUAGGGAAUCUUCCACAAUGGGCGAAAGCCUGAUGGAGCAACGCCGCGUGGGUGAAGAAGGUCUUCGGAUCGUAAAACUCUGUUGUUAGAGAAGAAAGUGCGUGAGAGUAACUGUUCACGUUUCGACGGUAUCUAACCAGAAAGCCACGGCUAACUACGUGCCAGCAGCCGCGGUAAUACGUAGGUGGCAAGCGUUAUCCGGAUUUAUUGGGCGUAAAGGGAACGCAGGCGGUCUUUUAAGUCUGAUGUGAAAGCCUUCGGCUUAACCGGAGUAGUGCAUUGGAAAAGGGGAGACUUGAGUGCAGAAGAGGAGAGUGGAACUCCAUGUGUAGCGGUGAAAUGCGUAGAUAUAUGGAAGAACACCAGUGGCGAAAGCGGCUCUCUGGUCUGUAACUGACGCUGAGGUUCGAAAGCGUGGGUAGCAAACAGGAUUAGAUACCCUUGUAGUC